GGCAUAGCUCAGUGGUAGAGUACGUGCUUAGCAUGCACGAGGUCCUGGGUUCAAUCCGCAGUACUGCCA
rnacentral:tRNA from 1 species